UAUCUUCUCUCUGUUUAUUUCUGGAUAUUAUAAAUCUUCUGCUUCCUAGGGGUCCAGAGAGGGAGGAAGGACACUUGUGCUCUUCUUGGUCCUAGUAGAUCACCACACGGCCAGAGUAACAGUGCUGGUGCCACUUAAACUCCCCAUAUCACAUGUGCUCCCCACCAGUGUCUGCGGUGAAGGAACGGGAGGUUAACUGAAAGAUCCAAUGGUUUCCCCCACCCCACCUCACCCCACCCCUGCAACAUGUUUUUCAUGCUAUGCUUUCCAUUUACAGGAGCGGCCUUUGCUAGGAGAGUGAAAAUAUUGGCAGAUGAACAGAUCUGGAGUUCCUUCCAGAAUGUCUGAUGAAUUCGUCUUCAAAAGAGGUGACGGUCUUAAGAUUUCCUUUGUUAUCCAUGGAGAUGGUUGACCCUACCGUAAAACAAGAGUCCUCAUUCAUCACACUACUUAAAAAACUAAAAAAGAGAAGAUGCUCUUCUAAGAGAAACAAAUCACAAUCUCGGUUGAGGUUCCCUACUGCCAAAACCCAAAGCCAAGCAUUCUUCUGAAAAAUCAAUAAACUGCCCAGCACCAUGCUUACCACAAGCAGGUAAUUUCAGUGCGUCUUUAGAACAAAACAAGAAGAGGAAGUCUAUUUUACUUAUUAGUUUGAACAAGAGACUUAUGUGAAUGAUUCUCCAUUAACAUAUAUUUGGGAAUCAUUCAUUUGAUAUUUAAUAUUCCACCAUGCCUAGGGUCACAUAAAAUAAACCGCUGCAUUUUUAUUUUUAAAACAUGUUGAGAAAAGGUACUUUUCUCAAAGAGCUUGAAAUUU